CAGGUGGCCGCUAGAUGGCAGAAUUGGUCUCCAGAGAAGCUGCAGGCUCUGCAGCACCUUCAUCCUGAAGGUUAGUAUGAAAUGUUGCAGAGGAGACAAUCAGACUUUCAGCUCUGGCCCUAUGCAAAUAUUCCUUGGCAGAAUGGAAUACCACCGAUGAGCCGAACUGUCUCCCGGUCAUCUCCAUGGCAACCGGGACAACUGCACAGGCCUUAAAUAGAAACCUUUCCACCAACCUGUUCGUUCAGAAUACUGUCCCCAUCUGCAUCCUCGUCGCAGGCGUCUCCUUGGCCAUCCCUGUCCGCGUCCUCUUGACCAGAGUUUGGAACGUACAUGCAAUUAUCCUGCAGAGAUGAGCUGCACUGUACCGUAACCUGUGGGCAAACCCUGGAAGGCAGCGGGGAGAUCCCGGACCGUUUCGACCAGCCGGCAGUCCAGAUGCAGCUCCACCCCGCCUGGCCCCUGCUGCUGCAGCCCCUUCAGG